UUACGAGUAAAGCAAGGUCCUCAGGCCCGAGCUACUUGUUGGAAGUGGCGAUGGAAACAUCGGAAUGACUCAGAAAGAGCAGGAAGGAGUCAUCAAGCGAUUUAAAACAGGCGAAAGGAAUCUUCUGCUGGCGACCAGUGUGGCUGAAGAAGGAUUGGAUAUAAGUGACUGUAACUACGUCAUUCGAUACGACAUGAUGGGGAAUGAAAUCUCAUCGAUGCAGUCAAGGGGACGUGUCAGGGCGAAAGAUGGAAAGUACACAGUGUUGGUUAGUCAUACAGCAGC